rnacentral:tRNA from 2 species
CAAGAAAUAGUUUAAAUUAAAAUAUUAAUUUUGGAGAUUAAUGAUAAAGAAAUAUCUUUUUUCUUGA